rnacentral:rRNA from 1 species
AGCAGCCGCGGUAAUUCCAGCUCCAAUAGCGUAUAUUAAAGUUGUUGCAGUUAAAAGGCUCGUAGUUGAAUUUCGGGAUCAAGGAAUCGGUCAUGCCUCGGUAUGUACUGGUUUUAUUGGUUCUCACCUUCUAAAGAACCAUGAUGUCAUUCAUUUGAUGUUAUGGGGAAUUAGGACUGUUACCUUGAAAAAAUUAGGGUGUUUAAAGCAGGCUUACGCUUGAAUACAUUAGCAUGGAAUAAUGAAAUAGGACAUCAGAUUCUAUUUUGUUGGUUUCUAGGAUCGAUGUAAUGAUUAAUAGGGAUAGUUGGGGGCAUUAGUAUUCAAUUGUCAGAGGUGAAAUUCUUGGAUUUAUUGAAGACUAACUACUGCGAAAGCAUCUGCCAAGGAUGUUUUCAUUAAUCAAGAACGAAAGUUAGGGGAUCGAAGACGAUCAGAUACCGUCGUAGUCUUAACCAUAAACUAUGCCGACUAGGGAUCGGAUGAUGUUUAUUUUUUAGUGACUCAUUCGGCACCUUAC